rnacentral:rRNA from 1 species
AUGCAUGUAUAAGUACAUACUUACACAUAGUGAAACCGCGAAUGGCUCAUUAAAUCAGUUAUGGUUCCUUAGAUCGUAAAACUCCACUUGGAUAACUGUGGUAAUUCUAGAGCUAAUACAUGCAUCAAAACACUGACUUUUGGAAGUGUGCUUUUAUUAGAUCAAAACUAAUAUGAACUUCGGUUCAUUUGUUUGGUGACUCUGGAUAACUUUGGGCUGAUUGCAUGGCCUCGUGCCGGCAACGUAUCUUUCAAAUGUCUGCCCUAUCAACUUUCGAAGGUAGAUGAUAUGCCUACCUUGGUUGUAACGGGUAACGGGGAAUUAGGGUUCCAUUCCGGAGAGGGCGCAUGAGAAACGGCGACCACAUCCAAGGAAGGCAGCAGGCGCGCAAAUUACCCACUCCUGGAAUGGGGAGGUAGUGACGAAAAAUAACAAUAUGAAUCUCAUUUGAGGCUUCAUAAUUGGAAUGAGUACACUUUAAAUCCUUUAACGAGGAUCAAUUGGAGGGCAAGUCUGGUGCCAGCAGCCGCGGUAAUUCCAGCUCCAAUAGCGUAUAUUAAAGUUGUUGCAGUUAAAAAGCUCGUAGUUGGAUUUCUAGUCUUGACUUGCAGUUCGCCUAACGGCGUAACUGUUUGUUUGGACUUACCUCCCGGUUUUCUCUUGUUUCUCUUC